GUUGACCUCGGAUCAGGUAGGAAUACCCGCUGAACUUAAGCAUAUCAA
rnacentral:rRNA from 41 species